rnacentral:rRNA from 1 species
GGUCAUUUAGAGGAAGUAAAAGUCGUAACAAGGUUUCCGUAGGUGAACCUGCGGAAGGAUCAUUAACGAGUUUUGAAAGGGGUUGUAGCUGGCCUUCCGAGGCAUGUGCACGCCCUGCUCAUUCCACUCUACACCUGUGCACUUACUGUGGGUCUCAGGCGAGCGUCGGUCGCUUCGCGGCGUCGUCGUUCAACUGGGCUCACGUUUUACUACAAACUAUUAAAGUAUCAGAAUGUCUACUGCGAAUUAACGCAUUUAAAUACAACUUUCAGCAACGGAUCUCUUGGCUCUCGCAUCGAUGAAGAACGCAGCGAAAUGCGAUAAGUAAUGUGAAUUGCAGAAUUCAGUGAAUCAUCGAAUCUUUGAACGCACCUUGCGCUCCUUGGUAUUCCGAGGAGCAUGCCUGUUUGAGUGUCAUGAAAUUCUCAACCUAACGAGUCUUUGCGGGCUCGGUAGGCUUGGACUUGGAGGUUCUUGUCGGCCUAACGGUCGGCUCCUCUUAAAUGCAUUAGCUCGGUUCCUUGCGGAUCGGCUCACGGUGUGAUAAUUGUCUACGCCGCGACCGUUGAAGCGUUUUGGCCGGCUUCUAAUCGUCUCGUUGGAGACACUACUCUUUAUGACCUUCUGACCUCAAAUCAGGUAGGACUACCCGCUGAACUUAAGCAUAUCAAUAAGCGGAGGAA